rnacentral:rRNA from 1 species
AUGCUGGAGGUAUCAGAAGUGCGAAUGCUGACAUAAGUAACGAUAAAGCGGGUGAAAAGCCCGCUCGCCGGAAGACCAAGGGUUCCUGUCCAACGUUAAUCGGGGCAGGGUGAGUCGACCCCUAAGGCGAGGCCGAAAGGCGUAGUCGAUGGGAAACAGGUUAAUAUUCCUGUACUUGGUGUUACUGCGAAGGGGGGACGGAGAAGGCUAUGUUGGCCGGGCGACGGUUGUCCCGGUUUAAGCGUGUAGGCUGGUUUUCCAGGCAAAUCCGGAAAAUCAAGGCUGAGGCGUGAUGACGAGGCACUACGGUGCUGAAGCAACAAAUGCCCUGCUUCCAGGAAAAGCCUCUAAGCAUCAGGUAACAUCAAAUCGUACCCCAAACCGACACAGGUGGUCAGGUAGAGAAUACCAAGGCGCUUGAGAGAACUCGGGUGAAGGAACUAGGCAAAAUGGUGCCGUAACUUCGGGAGAAGGCACGCUGAUA